rnacentral:rRNA from 1 species
ACGAACGCUGGCGGCAUGCCUAACACAUGCAAGUCGAGCGCCUGUAGCAAUACAGGAGCGGCGCACGGGUGAGUAACGCGUGGGAACCUGCCCUUAGGUUCGGAACAACCGCGGGAAACUGCGGCUGAUACCGGAUGAUGUCUUCGGACCAAAGAUUUAUCGCCGAUGGAUGAACCCGCGUCCGAUUAGCUUGUUGGUGAGGUAAUGGCUCACCAAGGCUUCGAUCGGUAGCUGGUCUGAGAGGAUGACCAGCCACACUGGGACUGAGACACGGCCCAGACUCCUACGGGAGGCAGCAGUGGGGAAUAUUGGACAAUGGGCGCAAGCCUGAUCCAGCAAUGCCGCGUGAAUGAUGAAGGCCUUAGGGUUGUAAAGUUCUUUCGCUCGUGACGAUGAUGACGGUAACGAGAGAAGAAGCCCCGGCUAACUUCGU